rnacentral:rRNA from 1 species
AUACGAGGGGUGCAAGCGUUAAGCGGAAUUACUGGGCGUAAAGCGUUCGUAGGCGGUUUGUUAAGCAAGAUGUGAAAGCCCUGGGCUCAACCUGGGAACUGCAUUUUGAACUGGCAAGCUAGAAUACUGUAGAGGGUGGUGGAAUUUCCAGUGUAGCGGUGAAAUGCGUAGAGAUUGGAAGGAACAUCAGUGGCGAAGGCGGCCACCUGGACAGAUAUUGACGCUGAGGAACGAAAGCGUGGGGAGCGAACAGGAUUAGAUACCCUAGUAGUCC